GCUGUGGGGAACUUAAAAACGGAGCAUUUAUAUUUGUAGACGAGGACACUGCGCUGGAGAGGUCACUAAUGGCCACAUCUGAAUUUUAACUCCAGAUCUUGUGGGCUCUAAUUCUGUUGGACUUUGUUUUUCACUUUUAAAAAGCUGGCCACUAAAGUCAAAGGCAUUUUAAUCCUAUCUCAGACAACUGUUUUGCCCUUAAGGAGAAGUUCUGGAGGCUUAAGCAAAUGUUACCCCUCUUACUUAAAGAAUGUGAUUAAAAUAAUUUAUCUUUCUGAUAACUGGUCCAGCUUUUGAACUUAGUUUAUGUGUGCUUGGGAAAGGAGUCUUCAUCUCUGGCACUGAGAGGAAAGAUGGAAGUAAUGGAAACAUUGGGUA